rnacentral:rRNA from 1 species
UACGGAGGGUGCUAGCGUUGUUCGGAAUUACUGGGCGUAAAGCGCACGUAGGCGGCUUUGUAAGUUAGAGGUGAAAGCCCGGAGCUCAACUCCGGAAUUGCCUUUAAGACUGCAUCGCUAGAAUUGUGGAGAGGUGAGUGGAAUUCCGAGUGUAGAGGUGAAAUUCGUAGAUAUUCGGAAGAACACCAGUGGCGAAGGCGACUCACUGGACACAUAUUGACGCUGAGGUGCGAAAGCGUGGGGAGCAAACAGG